rnacentral:rRNA from 1 species
AUAGAUACCCGGGUAGUCCACGCCCUAAACGGUGCGAACUGGAUGUUGGGUACAUUACGGUACUCAGUGUCGAAGCUAACGCGUUAAGUUCGCCGCCUGGGGAGUACGGUCGCAAGACUGAAACUCAAAGGAAUUGACGGGGGCCCGCACAAGCGGUGGAGUAUGUGGUUUAAUUCGAUGCAACGCGAAGAACCUUACCUGGCCUUGACAUCUGUCGAAUCCUGCAGAGAUGCGGGAGUGCCGCAAGGAACGACAAGACAGGUGCUGCAUGGCUGUCGUCAGCUCGUGUCGUGAGAUGUUGGGUUAAGUCCCGCAACGAGCGCAACCCUUGUCCCUAGUUGCCAGCACGUAAUGGUGGGAACUCUAGGGAGACUGCCGGUGACAAACCGGAGGAAGGUGGGGAUGACGUCAAGUCCUCAUGGCCCUUACGGCCAGGGCUACACACGUACUACAAUGGUCGGUACAGAGGGUUGCGAAGCCGCGAGGUGGAGCCAAUCCCAGAAAACCGAUCCCAGUCCGGAUCGGAGUCUGCAACUCGACUCC